AUAUUUACCUUCCUCCCUAUCAGGACAUGGCAGCUCCCAUGUUUGACAUGAUUUGUGUGAAAACAUCUGCCCCCAGGAGAGUUGUGAAUCAGGGUAAGAUGAGGAGCUUUGCUGUGAAAUGGCACAAGGUUUUUGGUUAUUCUUUCCAAAUGACUCCUCAGGAGGAAAAGCUGUCCAGCUGCCGCCUUCCGGUUGCUGGUCCAAGAACACGUAAGACUGGACAGUAUUGGGGGCGAGAUGAUGGAUAGCACCUGGUUUUCUUUGUUGGUUCCACUGCCCCCUCUGGAGAAGUGUUCCUUCCACAGGAACGAGCCCCGAACCCAGCAUCCAGGCCUUUAGGGACCAGGCCGUCUGAGGCUGGGCUGAGCUGAGUUAGGCUCACUCCCGGAUUGUGGGGACCUGUUCAGCUCUUCUCCCUGGAACCCUGCAAGCUCCGUGUUUGGAGCCCCUGCAGGCUGAGACUCUGGACAUGGUGAUGCUCUGUGACGUUGGACUCCCGGGGCCUCUAGGCAUCUUUAAAGCUGUGCUCUCUGCCCCAAUAGAAACCAGUCUGGGGGAGUCUGAAGAGUCAGGGCAGAAUUACAGCCGGGCCGGAUGCCCCAGAAGAAGACCACAGGGCCUCUCUGGGCACCCUUCUCUGGUGCCCCUGUGUGGGGCUCCCUCUGAGCUCCCGCAUGGAACACAGUGCUGGGAAAAUGAUGGGUCCCUGACUGAGGGCUGCUGUUCUGCUGUUUUCUGUCUCUUCCUCCUUCCAUGGGGCCUUUGACGAUUCUCCUCGAGAAGUGUACUUUGUGUCUUUUUGUCCAGGCAGAGUCUGUUCUGCCUGUUCUUCUUUGAGAGCCGAAAGGUGCUUGUGUCCCUUCCAACCUGUGCCUUUUGAAAGCAUCAGGGCUUGAUUUUGCUCUGUGCCAGUUCUGGGAAGGGGCUCGGAACUCUCUCCAAGCCUUGGUCAGGGUGGGGCCGGGGGAGGAGUUAGAGCUCUUUCCUUUUACCCCAGCGCAGGCCCCCGCACUCUCUCAGCACUUUUACUUAAGAAAGAGAGAACUUGGGCUAGUUCUGGUGUGACUUGGAAUUUCUGACUACGCUUCGCUGACAUCUGUGUGAUUUGUCAAGCUGACAUUGCUGUCUUUAUGUGGAAGGCCCUGGGCUCAGACUGUAGAGGCGAAGAGGGCUCCUGAGAUGGGGCAGCGUGUGGGGAUACAGACAAGUUGCCAAGUUGAUGAAUAUCCUUGGCGUGUGUGUGUGUGUGUGUGUGUGUGUGUGUGUGUGUGUGUGUUGGGGAGGGCAUGUGACUGCCUGACCUUAGUAUAUGGGAGGUGGUUCUGGGAGGCCACCUGGCCCUUGGCCCCUGGCCAUUCUCACUGUUGGGCUGGCCUCAGAUGCUUACACCACUCCCUCAGUCAGAUGGAUGGGCAGAUGGAUGGACAAGUAGAUAAUCUCACUGUUUUCCUUUUAGAAAGAACCACAGACAGCUCUGAUGAGCAAGGGUUAGACAGAGCAGCUGAGCGGAACCUUGCAUGCUGACCUCCCUCUUCAUGCCCCCCAGCACGUGCCUGGAGUGUAGGGAGCAUAGUGCUGGCAGCUGAGGAGUAUGUUGAUGUUAAGGAGUGAAAAGGAGAAACUGAGGAGGUCGUGAUGACAAUUGUUUGAUAACAAUAAUAAGGUAUUUAUUGAGUGUUUUCUAAGUUCAGAUACUGUGUAAGUUACACUUCCAUACACUCCCCCACACUAUAUUUUAAAUUUCCUACUAACCGUAUAAAGUAAAUCCUACCAAUGGCCCCAUUUUACAGAUAAGGAAACUGAGUCGCUAUUCCCUGGACCUUAUCUACUUCACUAGCGGGACUUUCAAGCAGGAACUAACACUCAUUGGACUUUUACAGUGUACACGGAUGCUGUGCCAGGUGCAAUAGAAGUAUUUCAUCCACCCCACGAUUCUGUGUGUGGGCACCAUUACUUUCCCCAUUUUAUGAGUGGAAACCUGACAUGUAGGGGAGGAAGCCUGCCUAAGUUCCCACCGCGGAGUCCGAUGAGCCCCGGGAGUGGAAGUCAGACUGCCAAGAACGGAUCCAUAGGCGGCCACAGUCCUCCCACCCUGCUUCAGAACCCAGUGUCCUAGCGCGUGGUCCCACUGGAGUGACCCGCUCUCCACUGUCCUUCUCCUUGCCACCCUCCACGCCCACUUCAUUACUGUGCUGACCGCUUGGCUGAGACCUGCUCCCUCUCCCCCGUCCCUUUCGCGGUUCAGCUUCUGCUCCGACUCCCUGGCCUCGCUCUCCAGCAUGCUGCAGGGGAGGCACCUUCCCAAGCCUGACCUCAGUCCCUCUCCCUGAGGAGCCUGGCCAGCAUGGAUAUGACCUCUCUCCUGUAGGGGGCCGGGCUGAGAUGCAGCCAAAUGAGGAGCUGGGAAGGUUUUCCCCAAGAGCUCAGGCCAAGGGGACACGAUGUUUGGGCAGUGGAGAGCCAUCACCCGCUUUUUGUUCUCCAUCUUGGGGAGAUAACUCUGGGGCUCAUUCCCUCCCUGACCCAUGGGCUGCCAGAAGGCAAUCCUAGUUUGCACCAUCUAACAAGUCUGACAGAGGAAUUUCCCCCUUUGAUGUCAACGGUAUCCCUGGCCGAAUGGAGAACUCAUGGAGUUCUUGCGUGGAGAACUCAUCUUCCAGAUCUGUGCUUCCCAGAAAUGAAAUUUACCCAAACCAUUCUCUCUCCUUCAUGAUUUUGGCACUGAAAA